CAUCGCCUGCCCAGUGAAUAUUAAACGGCCGCAGUACCCUAACUGUGCAAAGGUAGCAUAAUCAUUUGUCUACUAAUUAUAGACCUGUAUGAAUGGCAAAAUGAGGGCCCAACUGUCUCUUAUAAUAGACCAAUUAAACUGAUCUCCUAGUAAAAAAGCUAGAAUAACAUCAUAAGACCAGAAGACCCUGUGAAACUUAAACUAAAUUAUUAAAACAAAUAAUAACUACUUUCGGUUGGGGCGACCUUGGAAAAAAAAAGAACUUCCAAACCACACAUACUGGCUGACAAGCCAUUAAAGACCCAGCACAGCUGAUAAUUGAACUAAGCUACUCCAGGGAUAACAGCGCUAUCUUCUUCAAGAGCCCAUAUCAAAAAGAAGGUUUACGACCUCGAUGUUGGAUCAGGACACCCAAAUGGUGCAACCGCUAUUAAAGGUUCGUUUGUUCAACGAUUAAUAGUCCUA
rnacentral:rRNA from 1 species